rnacentral:sRNA from 1 species
CAGCUUGAGUAGCCAUGAUUUCAACUCUCAAUGAAAGCACCAA